GACGAACGCUGGCGGCGUGCUUAACACAUACAAGUCGAACGGUGACCCUCGGAGCUUGCUUCGGGGUGAACAGUGGCGAACGGGUGAGUAACACGUGAGUAACCUGCCCCUGACUCUGGAAUAAGCGCUGGAAACGGCGUCUAAUACCGGAUAUGACACGAACGGGCAUCCGUAUCGUGUGGAAAGUUUUUCGGUCUGGGAUGGACUCGCGGCCUAUCAGGUUGUUGGUGAGGUAAUGGCUCACCAAGGCGAUGACGGGUAGCCGGCCUGAGGGGGCGACCGGCCACACUGGGACUGAGACACGGCCCAGACUCCUACGGGAGGCAGCAGUGGGGAAUAUUGCACAAUGGGCGAAAGCCUGAUGCAGCGACGCCGCGUGAGGGAUGACGGCCUUCGGGUUGUAAACCUCUUUCAGCAGGGAAGAAGCGAAAGUGACGGUACCUGCAGAAGAAGCACCGGCUAACUACGUGCCAGCAGCCGCCGUAACAC
rnacentral:rRNA from 1 species